GACGAACGCUGGCGGCGUGCCUAACACAUGCAAGUCGAACGGAGUUGUUCCUUCGGGGACAACUUAGUGGCGAACGGGUGAGUAACGCGUGAGGAACCUGCCUUCCAGUGGGGGACAACAGUUGGAAACGACUGCUAAUACCGCAUAACAUUCACGGACCACAUGAUCUGUGAAUCAAAGCUUUAUGUGCUGGGAGAUGGCCUCGCAUCUGAUUAGCUAGUUGGUGGGGCAACGGCUCACCAAGGCGACGAUCAGUAGCCGGUCUGAGAGGAUGAACGGCCACAUUGGGACUGAGAUACGGCCCAG
rnacentral:rRNA from 1 species